GACGAACGCUGGCGGCGUGCYUAAUACAUGCAAGUCGAGCGGACCGACGGGAGCUUGCUCCCUUAGGUCAGCGGCGGACGGGUGAGUAACACGUGGGUAACCUGCCUGUAAGACUGGGAUAAYUCCGGGAAACCGGGGYUAAUACCGGAUGCUUGAUUGAACCGCAUGGUUCAAUCAUAAAAGGUGGCUUUYAGCUACCACUUACAGAUGGACCCGCGGCGCAUUAGCUAGUUGGUGAGGUAACGGCUCACCAAGGCGACGAUGCGUAGCCGACCUGAGAGGGUGAUCGGCCACACUGGGACUGAGACACGGCCCAGACUCCUACGGGAGGCAGCAGUAGGGAAUCUUCCGCAAUGGACGAAAGUCUGACGGAGCAACGCCGCGUGAGU
rnacentral:rRNA from 1 species